CCUGACGACCAUGGCGAGGUGGUCCCACUCCUUCCCAUCCCGAACAGGACAGUGAAACGCCUCUGCGCCGAUGAUAGUGCGGGUUCCCGUGUGAAAGUAGGACAUCGUCAGGC
rnacentral:rRNA from 1 species